rnacentral:rRNA from 1 species
UACAGGGGGGGCAAGCGUUGUUCGGAAUUACUGGGCGUAAAGGGCUCGUAGGCGGCCAACUAAGUCCGACGUGAAAUCCCAAAGCUUAACUUUGGAACUGCGUCGGAUACUGGAUGGCUUGAAUUCGGGAGAGGGAUGCAGAACUCCAGGUGUAGCGGUGAAAUGCGCAGAUAUCAGGAAGAACACCGGUGGCGAAGGCGGCUCUCUGGGCCUUACCUGACGCUGAGGAGCGAAAGCGUGGGUAGCGAACAGG